CCACAGUCACAUAUCCAUAAUUCCCUCCGUAUAAAUAUUCAUGUGCUGUGAAUAAGAUGUAAAAGACAUUGUGCUAUUUUUCAAUAUUUACUCUAGAAUUAGAUCCGCAUAGGUGCUUGUUCUAUGACAAAAGAUAAGAGCUUGCACUCUCAAAGAUUUCUUUUAAAUAGAUCAUAAAAUCCAUUGUGAAUAUUUAAGCCAAGAGUAAUAACAUGGUGUCAUAUACUCACAGUAUAAUGCAGCAACACUCUGCAUUUUGACAUCUGCCCAGACAGAUGUUUAGAACGAAGUUCCUCAGAUUCUUUCUUCUUUCUUUAUUUAUUUAUUUAAGUUGCAUGGAAAAAAUCUGGGAAUCAUCUUUUAUAUCGAAGCUACUUAGUACAAUUUAACUGUCAACAGUUUAAUUAAUUUAAAUGUAGAGUUACUGUGGAAGCCAACAACUCACAUAAGCCUUCCACACAAAAAAAAAAAAAAAUAGAGCAAAGCCUCCCAAAAUUUUGCCAGCAAGAUCCUGACCUCACAAAGGAUAUGGCUGUGAUCACAGGACACGCAGAGAUCAGCCCUCUAAAAUCACGCAAAUGACUGGUAUAACUUUCUGCUCACAGGCAAUCUCAGCGCUGGCCGUUAAUAGAUGUUUUGCCACUAUUUUCCUUCGGAAGGAUGACGCCGAUCGUUCGCCCCUUUUGCCCGUGUCUUCCCGGCGUGCAGGAUGGGAGCAGCCCCGGAUAGUGGUGCGGCGGCCAACCUUCAGCCCCAGCUCCCGCUGCCGUGCCCCAUCGCAAGGGGCAUUUCCCCAAGGCCACCGGCUCCUUUCUUAUUUAUAUUUUUAUUUUAUUUUUAUUUUUAUUUUAUUUUAUUUUUAUUUUAUUUUACUUCAUUUCAUUUUACUUCAUUUUAUUUUUCUUUUUCUACUUUUUUUACUUUAUUCCAUUUUACUUUAUUUUACUUCAUUUUAUUAUACUUCAUUUUACCUUAUUUUAUUUUCCCUUAUUUUACUUUCCUUCAUUUUCCUGUUUCAAUGUGAUUUCUCCAUGGGGCAGCCCUUCUCCCCGGCGCAUCGCCUGGGCGCUGCCCUCGGCGGGUGCUCAGAAGGCGAAGGGAAGGGGCAGCCCCCCCCGGGCCGGCAGCGGCCCCGCUAUUUGCAUGGCGUGUUUAUAACGUGGUGGAAACCAAGACUGAUAUUUGUGGUCGGGAGAAGAUGACUUUCACCUCUCCGGAUCACUCUCUCAAAUAAAAAAGAAUUGACCAGCUACGGGCGUAAGCA
rnacentral:lncRNA from 1 species